rnacentral:rRNA from 1 species
AAAUUGAAGAGUUUGAUCAUGGCUCAGAUUGAACGCUGGCGGCAGGCCUAACACAUGCAAGUCGAACGGUAACAGGAAGCAGCUUGCUGAUUCGCUGACGAGUGGCGGACGGGUGAGUAAUGUCUGGGAAACUGCCUGAUGGAGGGGGAUAACUACUGGAAACGGUAGCUAAUACCGCAUAAUGUCGCAAGACCAAAGAGGGGGACCUUCGGGCCUCUUGCCAUCGGAUGUGCCCAGAUGGGAUUAGCUUGUUGGUGGGGUAACGGCUCACCAAGGCGACGAUCCCUAGCUGGUCUGAGAGGAUGACCAGCCACACUGGAACUGAGACACGGUCCAGACUCCUACGGGAGGCAGCAGUGGGGAAUAUUGCACAAUGGGCGCAAGCCUGAUGCAGCCAUGCCGCGUGUAUGAAGAAGGCCUUCGGGUUGUAAAGUACUUUCAGCGGGGAGGAAGGGAGUAAAGUUAAUACCUUUGCUCAUUGACGUUA